GGCUGGUCCGAUGGUAGUGGGUUAUCAGAACUUAUUAACAUUAGUGUCACUAAAGUUGAUAUACAACCCCCCACUGCUAAAUUUGACUGGCUUUU
rnacentral:Y_RNA from 1 species